GAUGAACGCUGGCGGCGUGCCUAAUACAUGCAAGUCGAGCGAACGGACGAUAAGCUUGCUUCUCUGAUGUUAGCGGCGGACGGGUGAGUAACACGUGGAUAACCUACCUAUAAGACUGGGAUAACUUCGGGAAACCGUAGCUAAUACCGGAUAAUAUUUUGAACCGCAUGGUUCAAAAGUUAAAGACGGUCUUGCUGUCACUUAUAGAUGGAUCCGCGCUGCAUUAGCUAGUUGGUAAGGUAACGGCUUACCAAGGCAACGAUGCAUAGCCGACCUGAGAGGGUGAUCGGCCACACUGGAACUGAGACACGGUCCAGACUCCUACGGGAGGCAGCAGUAGGGAAUCUUCCGCAAUGGGCGAAAGCCUGACGGAGCCACGCCGCGUGAGUGAUGAAGGUCUUCGGAUCGUAAAACUCUGUUAUUAGGGAAGAACAUAUGUGUAAGUAACUGUGGACAUCUUGACGGUACCUAAUCAGAAAGCCACGGCUAACUACGUG
rnacentral:rRNA from 1 species